rnacentral:rRNA from 1 species
AUUGAACGCUGGCGGCAUGCUUUACACAUGCAAGUCGAACGAGUGGCGCAGGGGUGAGUAAUACAUAGGAACGUGUCCUAUCGUGGGGGAUAACUGAUCGAAAGAUAAGAUAAUACCGCAUACGAUUGGAGCGGGCGAUGCCCGAUUAGCUAGUUGGUGAGGUAAAGGCUCACCAAGGCGACGAUCGGUAGCGGGGCUGAGAGGACAACAAGCCACACUGGUACUGAGACACGGCCCAGACUCCUCCGGGAGGCAGCAGUGGGGAAUAUUGCACAAUGGGCGCAAGCCUGAUGCAGCCAUGCCGCGUGUAUGAAGAAGGCCUUCGGGUUGUAAAGUACUUUCAGCGAGGAGGCGUUACUCGCAGAAGAAGCACCGGCUAACUCCGUGCCAGCAGCCGCGGUAAUAC